rnacentral:rRNA from 1 species
AUAUCAAUAAGCGGAGGAAAAGAAACCAACAGGGAUUACCCUCAGUAACGGCGAGUGAAGCGGCAACAGCUCAAAUUUGAAAUCUGGCUCUUUCAGGGUCCGAGUUGUAAUUUGUAGAAGAUGCUUUGGGUGUGGCUCCGGUCUAAGUUCCUUGGAACAGGAUCGUCAUAGAGGGUGAGAACCCCGUAUGUGACUGGCUGGCCAUUGUCCGUGUAAAGCUCUUUCGGACGAGUCGAGUUGUUUCGGGAAUGCAGCUCAAAAUGGGUGGUAUAUUUCAUCUAAAGCUAAAUAUUGGGCCAGAGACCGAUAGCGCACAAGUAGAGUGAUCGAAAGAUGAAAAGCACUUUGGAAAGAGAGUUAAACAGUAC